CGAAAAAGGAAAGAAGAAAACUACAGAGAGUAUCGUAGCUUUCAUGUAACGUGAAAAUGCCUUCUUCCCAUAAGCACUUAUGAGAAGUGCUUUUUCAUUCUAAAAAAAACACUUAUUUUCAAAAAGCCAUUCUCUCUACUCUCCUUCAUCAUGAAACAAUGCUAACAAAUAAUCAACCAAUUGAUUCACUCCUAAAGAAGGAGAAGGAAUUACCGGCAAAAAAUAUUAUGACGGGGUGACGGGAUUCCGGCAGGGACGUUUCCGGCGUCACGUUCGGUUUGUGGAGGCGGGGAAAUCGAGAUUGAGAGGUGCAGCGGAGCUUUGAGGUAACCGUGGAGGUGCACGGUGGAGUUCCAAGGUUGUUCUCGCGUUUCCGUCAACAAAUCCGAAUGGUUUAAAAGAGGAUGAAAUUAUAGAUGAAAAAACAUUGGGUGUGAGCUCAGAAGAUGGAAGACUUAGUUGAGGUUUAUGUCAUUGGUGGGGAUGGUAUACUGGAUGAGUUGCAGCUUGCUGACUUCACAGUGUUUGGUGCUUCACAGCGUUUGGUGGUCCGGUAAGUUCUCCAUAAUUUUAAAUUAUAACUCAUCUCCUUUUUUUUUCUUAUAGAAAUUGGAGAACUUGGUGUAUGCAUGGAAAUUUAAGAGGUGUCUAUGCACUGUUGUUCUACGCACCAGAUUAGUUUUUUUGUUAACGUUGUCUGUCCCUCGAAAUUUCGGUUGUUUGUAUGGUUAAUUUUCACCUUCACUGAAUAGGAACUAGUUAAGAAUGGUGUGGUUGUAAGCAACGUGUUUUUGUGAAUGGUGUGUUAGAAUGGAAGCCCUGGCACUAACAUUUUUGGCCACAACUAUGUAAUUACUUGCUCUUCAAUUCUGAUUAAACAAAAACAGUUUUUUAAGAAUUCAGUCCAUAAUUAUGUAAUUACUCGCCCUUAGUUGUUUCUUCAAAGGUUUCUACUAUUUGUCAAGAAUGAUGUAUUCGUAGUAAUUGUAACCAUAGAUUGAUGUAUUUUGUUGUAUAUUGCUAGGGGAGCAUAUAAAAAUU